CGAUGGGGGAGUCCAUUUGGAUCUUGUGUGGGUUUACGGAAGUGGGCGAUGGCGACGCAGCAUCAGCUUCAGCCUCUUCCAGUGGAGAGCCGCAGCCGGGGCCGGCAGCGCGGGGCUCGGGCUGCCUCUGCGGCAGCAUCUUGAGCUGUUUUGGGAUGUAAGAAGACACCCCCCAGAAAUGCCCCAUCAUAAGAUCCCAGAUGGGACAGUCCCACCAGUGAGGGGGCAGGUGUGGUGGCCCACGGAUGGUGCUGAGCACCAGUGAUUACCCAGGCCCAGGUUGGCCAGAAAGCAUUGAUCAGCUCAUCCUGUUUGACAGACCUAUCCAUCAACUGUGAUGAUUCUAUUCUGGGAUUGACGGGGUGUGUUCCAAUCUCUUAUAAUCCUAUCUCAGCAUACAGAAAGUAUGCCUCCGGUGUGCCACUCAACACUGGUUUCGUAUUUCACAGAUGUCAUCGGGCAGAGGUGCCAUGGACUUAGUUUCCCAGUGGAAACCAUCAGAUUCAAACAGUGGUAAUAAAAUCUGAUAUGUACAAUCUGCACCAUUCUACCAUCAUACCCCCUUAUGAAUAAAGGGUUGGUUCACACAAAUUACAAAAAUGUAAUUUACCUGUUGUGGUAUCUACCUAUGCAGAUUGGUUUGGUUUAAUUUUUGAGAGAUCUGUAUCUAUCUCUUUCUGCCUCCAUGAAUGGAAUUUAGUUAUCUGGAUUAUCACCAGAGCGUGCUGUAUACAGGGUUCAUUGGAACUGCUUUCUACAGUAGAAACUGUCUUUAAGAAAACUGUUUGUAUCCACGGUAACAGGUAUACUGAUUCUGGAAAGUGAUGUUACUGAAUUUUUAGGUCUAAUUUGUCAAUUGAUGUCUCCAAACCUGGGCAAAUCUAUUUGCAUUUCUAGAUAUCAGUUGAGGGAAAUGGAAAGUAUGUUGCAUAUUUGUAAUUUGGGUGAACUGACUCUUUUAUUUUGUCAUAGUUUUUCCCCAUUAAGCUAGGCUGAAUUAUAACCUCAGGUUGUCCUACCUGAGGUUAUAAUUUUUCAUGGCAGUAUGCAGUUUUAAUUCCGGCUCAUGGGAGGGUUUUUGUUCAAAUUUGCACCCAGCAUGGCCUCCAGGACGGAGGUGUCUUUGUUGCCCUAAAUUGUCCCUUUGUUCUGUCUCUCUGUGCACUGAAUAGUUCUUUGUGUUGCUGACUGAUAAAGCUUCUACAAACAGUCAUCUCAGUCACACACAUGCACACACAUAAACAAAGACACACAGCCAGAGGUGUCGGUAACGAUGUUAUACCCACAUUAGAUCACAAACUUACAAACAGAUUGACAUACAGUGCGACAGUAGAUGCCUGGAUAAGGUUAUCUCUUAUCCAAACUGGGCAUGGUCCCCAGCUGUCACACCUACCAGUCCCACUUUAUUGCCUCAGAAUCCAUCAAAAGGGCCCUCCCAUCUAUGAUUGGUAUAAUUCUGCAGGAUUGAAUGAGCGGUGAGUCCCUAUCAGACUGGCACAUAUUUGCAUUUUAUGGCCCUUCUGCAGAAGGCUUGCAGGACUGAUUAGGAGGUCGGUUUUUCAGAGGAAUGAGGCCUGAGACCAGGCAGGCACAGCACGUGUGAAAGGGUGUGAUUCUCAUCAUCAGACUAGGCUGUAUAUGCCCUAACAUCAGUAUAGCUAACUCAAAAGAACAAGCCUCUGCUCAAUUUACGAUAGCUUCCAUUAUCUUUGAUCAACUUUAUCUGGUUUUCUUUGUCUUAGGGCUCUCCUGACUAGUGCUCUCAUCGCUAAUCCCAUUCCCAAUAUUCCCAUGAGUGCUCUCCAGUGAUUGUGUCCACAUCAUAUCUGUCUACUCUCUUGGCUUCAGCUUGUGAGUGUUAGGGAAAGAUGGCAUUACCUUAUUGUCAGCGUAAAUCUCCUUUGGCUGUUGCACAGAAGCCAGAGCAUUGUUGUAACAGCAAACAUUCACGUGAACAGAUAACAGCCUGCAGCCUUUUGCUUUCCAUAGGCCGUUUAUUUGCACACAAAUACAUGAAUGGCACACACACACAGACAGACCGUAAUGUCAGUCAACAACAGGGGUCUCAGACUUAUGGGGAUGCCUGUAAUGCUGUUUAAAGAAGAAAUAAAGAGGAAACCCGCUCAGCCACACACACAGGAGCACACAGGCGGUGUGUUCACUGAUUCAGUCUGUGAAAGCACCUGUCCAUCAGUGUAUUGCAUUAUUGCAGGUAAUGUAAUUAGGUGUGUGUCUGUGUGUGUGUGUGUGUACAUGUGUGCCUGUUUGUAUGUGUGCAUCUGCACGUAUGCUCCAUACAUUGUCAGAGGGCAUCUUAAGUGUCCCCAGCACAGAGCUGCAGCUGGGGGUCAGAGGUCAACAAUGACAGGUGUCCCUGGCCUCCAGAUGUCCUGUGGGAAGCCAGCAGGGGUAGGAAGAGCACGGAUGUUAAUAAAAAACGGAUGGAUCAUUUUCUAUUUCUAUAUUUUUCUCUAUCUAUUUCCCCUUCUCUAUCUAUCUACCCACAGAAUAAAACAACAUAAAUGAAUACAUUUACACCAAGGAGAAAAAUGGCAACGCUUUGGCCCCCCAUACUUCUUUUCAUUGUUGUUGGGAGCUUUGUCGUACCUUGUUGACAUAGAGACAAUUGCACUUUACUAUAAAUACUGCUAACAAAGAGCGUGUGAACCCACGUACAAGUGACUUCUUUCCUACCUAUAGGACAACACUGUAUCUUCCUCAUUUGAGCUGCAGUAUGGUUGGAACAGUAGACUUUACACAUCAGUGCCACCCAGUGGUGAGAAUGGCGCCUUCACGACAAACUGAAAAUACAAGAGGCAUCUUUUCCUACCUAUAUAUUCUUUAAGGAAGGCAGCAAUUGCAUGUGACAAAGGCUUUGAUCAACAGUUUGAGAUUCGUGGUUCACAUUAUAUUUAAGCUCAAGCUAAUUGAACUGUUCUAUAAUUCUCUGCCGCAACGUGUCCGAGAACAGUUCAAAAACAGUAUUGCCAAUAAUAUCACAGACUUGUUAAAAACACCCAAGAAAGUUGUUUUUGUUUUCAGAGAGCAGCACAUUCUUGCAAAAGAGUCUCACGCUCACUGAAAAUUUGUUCCAAUUCGAGAGGGAGGUUUCAUUUUUAAGGCUGUGAUUCUCUUCCAUAUUAACAAACAUGAAUUUAAUAUUUCCUAAUUUUCCAAACUUUUCAGUGAACUGCAACCUUGAAUAUUCUCCAUCCAGGUGACACUCAUGGAAGAUCAAACAAACCAAACCGGGUAUAUCUGACAUAUAGUAAACAGUCCCUUCCCCCGGGCCGACCCUCCACUGGCUUUGUUGACUCGUGUGCAGCUCAGCUUGACAGUUUAUCCAUUGAAGGCUCAGAGAAGGUUGGAGAAGGUGAAUGGAGACAGGCAGCUGGUCCAGAUGGCAUCCUGAGCAGGUUUAUGAAGGAGUUUGUUCAAGAUGCUUUGAUAAAGCAAGUGAAAAUUAGCUUAGUGUUGCAGUAAUUAGACCCUUGUCAGGUGAUGUUUAGGUUUGUCCAUAGACAGAGACAGCUAUUUGUGUCCUUUAGCAACAAUUGCUAUCAUAAUGUGGAUCAAAGUUGCAGCUAGAGUUACUUGGUUCAUCUUUCGUAUGACUAUUUUUCCUUGUGCUGUGGUUUUGUUUAAAUAAUAUAUUGAACUGGUAUAUAAUGGAGAAAAAGGUGAUCACAGCCAGCUUAAGCUCAAUGCCACAUUAUAACUUUAAUUUGAGAUGUUACAAAACAGGAAUAUACCUUUCAAACACAAUACAGCCCUUGAAAUGAAGUUACAUCAAUUGCUUUCACUGCUGGGGUUGGUAUUUGUGAAGUUACAGGAUAGGUGGUUAAAAACAAUACUGACAUCCUCAUGUACACUGAAAUAAUUUCCUUAUCUGUGAUCAUUCUCCUGUCCAUUCUGGCUGUGAAGUGGCCGAUAACGUUCUAUUUACAUAUAGGCUAGUAUUGUAAGACACCCUUAAAAAUGUGAACCUCUGCUCUAAUUAAUCAAGUUCAUUGAAAACAUGGAACAAAUAUACAUUUUUAGUUAAGAAAUCAUCACAUCAUGCAAGAAAAGAUAACUUUUUUGUGCAUAUUACUAUCUUAACAUAACAGCAUAAAUGUAAAUCAUUUAUUGAAAAAGGGGAACUAAAAAGAUCCUGUACUGUGGGUGUUUUUAUUUUAAGAACCAGUGUAUGAGAUUUAGUUGCAUCUAGCGGUGAACUUGCAGAUUGAAACUAAAUGGUCACCACUCGUAUCUGUAUUUGACGACCUGGGGAUGAGAAUGGGUUGUGAAGUGUGUAGAAUAAACUAUGGUGGCUGUGAAAUGUGCAAAAACCACAAAAGGCCCUAUCUGCAGCCAGUGUUUGGUUUGUCCAUUCUGGGCUACUCUAGAAACAGUUAAACAUGGCAGACCUGCAGCGUCUGUGGAUAAAAACCUCUCAUUCUGAGUUAAUAUGAAUAUUAUAUUCCAUUUCUCCCAAUAGAGCCUCCUAAAGGUUACACACUAGACCUUUAAUUUAUAUUCUGUUAUAAACUCAUGAAGAAGUAUGUCAUACUAUUUUGCAUCAGUAUGAUCACUAUCAAUUAUUUAAAGGAUGAAGUCUCAGAUUGCAACUAACUGAACACAGCUUGCGUCUCUAUUUGACAACCUGGCAUUGAGAACGGGCUGUGAAGUGUGAGUGAGUGAGAAACUACGGGGGCUUCCCCUAAAUGUCACACACUGAUCCUUUAAUAAGACUGGGAUUACAUGGCAGGUGACUUAAAAUACAAUGUUAGAGUUAUUUACUGAAAAGCAACAUAUUAACAGGUAAAGUACAUAUUAUUAUGUUGUAUUGUUUAUGUGAGAGUCAAGCUGCAUCUAGAUGGUUUUGUUCAUUUUGUUUGGCUUAUGUUUGAUUAUAUUUGUAUACAGUAUACAGUGCAUGUAGUUAUUUAAUUCAUGUGACAUCUUUUUGGACAUUAUAUGUAGAUGUCUUAAGUCAAUAUUAAUUGAUGUGAAAAGUCAAUAGAGGGAAGUACAAUAAACUUGAUGGCAUUGGGGAAAGCUGUCAUAGCAUAGCUCCAUUAUACAAACACCAAACAAGUCCAAUUAUGAGGUUGCUAAGUUUAAUCAUUAUCAUAUUAAUUAUAACAAUUGAAUCAUUAUCAAAUGAAAAGAUGAACAAAGACUUUUGUAUGAUGAAAUGGCUGCAGUGUGCAUCUCUGGCCAUAAGGGAGCAGUGUCUCCCUUCCUAAUGCUUCACAAGUCCCAGAUAUUGCCUUAACAGACACUUGGGAGCAAGGGACUAAAUUCUUGGAACUGCUAAUAUCACUUUGACUGUUAUGUGCCGAUAAUAAAGUCAAUGAAACAUCUUUUUAUAAUGCAUUUAAUUUAUAUGUUUUUCAGUCCAGUAAACUGGGUUUUCAUGUCCCUGAAAUGUUUCUCCAGGGCUGUGUGUGUGUGUGUGUCUGCGUGUGUGCGCUCUAAAUUCAUCCAUCUCCAACAUUUCAUAUCAGAGCUAUAAACUUGGCUUGCUCCAGUAGACUGUGAUAUUGUUGCUGGAAUGUUCUCUGAAAGGAUUUUUAUGGUCUUUUCCUGUUAAAGUCUCUUCUGGGACCAACUGAAAAUCUUCCUCAACAGACAGCCAGGACGUUCCAGUAUUUUUGUAGAAAUUCCCCCUGACAACCUCAGAACAAAUCUAAUAAAGCCUAAGCACCUUGCUGGGCUUUCU